GCUUCUGUUGACGGGCAGCAUUUGAAUUCGCAACACUCUUAGAUAUUAAAUAUAUCAACUCAUAUGCCGUCAUAUGCCGACUUUAUUAUAUUUGUCAUGCCAACUAUGAUGAUAUAAACUCUAAUGAUCACGUCAUGGCUAUGGCGAAAGACAUAAAAGACUUCUGGAAAACUUUCAAAGAACUCGUUGGAGAAAUACCUCAUUCAUCAAAAAAAAGGAUUUUUUGCUUAAAUUGGAGCAUUCAGAUAAUCUGCAAUUUUGAACGGGGUGCAAAAGUUCUCAAUCGAUCGUAAAUAUGGAAGGCAUAUGAUAUACUGACUAGAUCCGGUCGGAUCCAACAAGUAGAAGGGAAUCGAAGUGUUUAACUUGCAUUAAACAAAUAAACGGAUGCAUUUAUUGACUCAGCUUGUAAUGAAAGUGACGCGGACGGAUCUCUAAAUGGAUUACAUCUAAAGAUUAUCAGCUGAUAUAUAUUCAGAAUGACUCUUGCGCUCCAAAUUCGCAAUUUGAAAUAAAUAUGUCUAUAUUUUUCUACGAUUUAACUCAAAA